rnacentral:rRNA from 1 species
UACACAUGCAGUCGAGCGGGGAAAGGUAGCUUGCUACUUAACCUAGCGGCGGACGGGUGAGUAAUGCUUAGGAAUCUGCCUAUUAGUGGGGGACAACAUCUCGAAAGGGAUGCUAAUACCGCAUACGUCCUACGGGAGAAAGCAGGGGACCUUCGGGCCUUGCGCUAAUAGAUGAGCCUAAGUCGGAUUAGCUAGUUGGUGGGGUAAAGGCCUACCAAGGCAACGAUCUGUAGCGGGUCUGAGAGGAUGAUCCGCCACACUGGGACUGAGACACGGCCCAGACUCCUACGGGAGGCAGCAGUGGGGAAUAUUGGACAAUGGGGGGAACCCUGAUCCAGCCAUGCCGCGUGUGUGAAGAAGGCCUUUUGGUUGUAAAGCACUUUAAGCGAGGAGGAGGCUACCGAGAUUAAUACUCUUGGAUAGUGGACGUUACUCGCAGAAUAAGCACCGGCUAACUCUGUGCCAGCAGCCGCGGUAAUACAGAGGGUGCAAGCGUUAAUCGGAUUUACUGGGCGUAAAGCGCGCGUAGGUGGCCAAUUAAGUCAAAUGUGAAAUCCCCGAGCUUAACUUGGGAAUUGCAUUCGAUACUGGUUGGCUAGAGUAUGGGAGAGGAUGGUAGAAUUCCAGGUGUAGCGGUGAAAUGCGUAGAGAUCUGGAGGAAUACCGAUGGCGAAGGCAGCCAUCUGGCCUAAUACUGACACUGAGGUGCGAAAGCAUGGGGAGCAAACAGGAUUAGAUACCCUGGUAGUCCAUGCCGUAAACGAUGUCUACUAGCCGUUGGGGCCUUUGAGGCUUUAG